UACGUAGGGUGCGCGCGUUAAUCGGAAUUACUGGGUGUAAAGGGCGUGUAGGCGGGGAUUUAAGUCAGAUGUGAAAUCCUGAGGCUCAACCUCAGAGCUGCAUCUGAAACUGGAUCUCUUGAGUGCUGGAGAGGAAAGCGGAAUUCCUAGUGUAGCGGUGAAAUGCGUAGAUAUUAGGAGGAACACCAGUGGCGAAGGCGGCUUUCUGGACAGUAACUGACGCUGAGGCGCGAAAGCGUGGGGAGCAAACAGG
rnacentral:rRNA from 1 species